AGGAUGAACGCUGGCGGCGUGCCUAACACAUGCAAGUCGAACGUCCUGUCUCGCAAGAGGCAGGGAGUGGCGGACGGGUGAGUACCACGUGGGUCAUCUACCGUGAGGUGAGGAAUACCGGCGAGAAAUCGCCGACAAGACCGCAUAGGCUCGAUGCAAGUCGAGCAAAGCUCUUUCGAGAGAGGGAGCGCCACACGAGGAGCCUGCGCCCGAUUAGCUAGCUGGUGGAGUAACGGUUCACCAGGGCGACGAUCGGUAGCUGGUCUGAGAGGACGAUCAGCCACACUGGGAUUGAGAACGGCCCAGACUCCUACGGGGGCAGCAGUGAGGAAUUUCGUCAAUGGGGGCAACCCUGAACGAGCAACGCCGCGUGCAGGAAGAGGUUUCGAUCGUAAACUGCUUUUCUCGGGGAAGAGAACGGACGGUACCCGAGGAAUCGAGCCCCGGCUAACUACGUGCCAGCAGCCGC
rnacentral:rRNA from 1 species